GAUGAACGCUGGCGGCGUGCCUAAUACAUGCAAGUCGAGCGAACGGACGAGAAGCUUGCUUCUCUGAUGUUAGCGGCGGACGGGUGAGUAACACGUGGAUAACCUACCUAUAAGACUGGGAUAACUUCGGGAAACCGGAGCUAAUACCGGAUAAUAUCUUGAACCGCAUGGUUCAAAAGUGAAAGACGGUCUUGCUGUCACUUAUAGAGGGAUCCGCGUUUCUUUAGCAAGUUGGUAAGGUAACGGCUUACCAAGGGAACUAUGCAUAGCCGACCUGGAGGGGUGAUCGGCCACACUGGAACUGGACCACGGUCCAGACUCCUACGGGGGGCAGCAGUAGGGAAUCUUCCGCAAUGGGCAAAAGCCUAACGGAGCAACGCCGCGUGAGUGAUGAAGGUCUUCGGAUCGUAAAACUCUGUUAUUAGGGAAGAACAUAUGUGUAAGUAACUGUGCACAUCUUGACGGUACCUAAUCAGAAAGCCACGGCUAACUACGUG
rnacentral:rRNA from 1 species